rnacentral:rRNA from 1 species
UACGAAGGGGGCUAGCGUUGCUCGGAAUUACUGGGCGUAAAGGGCGCGUAGGCGGCACUGUUAGUCAGGCGUGAAAGUCCUGGGCUCAACCUGGGAACUGCGCUUGAUACGGCAGAGCUAGAGGAUGGAAGAGGCUCGCGGAAUUCCCAGUGUAGAGGUGAAAUGCGUAGAUAUCCGGAGGAACACCAGUGGCGAAAGCGGCCACCUGGACUGUACCUGACGCUCAAACACGAAAGCUAGGGGAGCGAACGGG